UACGGGGGGGGCAAGCGUUGUUCGGAAUUACUGGGCGUAAAGGGCCAGUAGGCGGCCAACUAAGUCCGACGUGAAAUCCCAAGGCUUAACCUUGGAACUGCGUCGGAUACUGGAUGGCUUGAAUUCGGGAGAGGGAUGCAAAAUUCCAGGUGUAGCGGUGAAAUGCGUAGAUAUCUGGAGGAACACCUGAGGCGAAAGCGGCUCUCUGGACCACAACUGACGCUGAGGCGCGAAAGCUAGGGGAGCAAACAGG
rnacentral:rRNA from 1 species